AACCACGCCUCGGCACAGUGGCUCUAUACGUUUGCUUCAUGAGCUACAGCGCAUGUGUCGAAGCCUCGGGUAUCAGAGGGCCAUCACUAUUGACAGGUCCUAUGGAGGAGGCAGCAGAGACUCUGCUCUCCUCGUUUGGAUUAAUUCUGAUAUAAUAACUGUUGGUUUAUUUAUCGGUGAAGCAGCAGAACAUUUUCCAUAGACAAUUUUCCUGCCCGUUGGGUUGUUUUAACCAGUUUUCUGCCUUCGGCUGAUUCUACCAGCAGACACUGAAAGGACUCAGUGUCUCAUGUUCACUGUGAGAAUCUUCUGAGUGAAGCCAACAGAAGGAAAACCUCAUCUGGUUGUGAAGAAGGAGACUGACUGGACGACAUCAUCAGUGAAUCACUUCCUGAUUAGAUUUCACUUAUAGAAGGACAGACCAACUCAGCAGUUUAUUAUUCUCUGUUCUUAGUAUUCAGGGGUUCUAUUUAUCACCUUUAACUCCAUCUCUGCUGUUGGAGCAGAAAUACAAUCUAAAAAGUCCAUGUUAUUUGUAUCAGAUAUGCAGCAUUAAAACAUCAACACAUUCAGGUUAAGAGCUUCAUUAUUAUCUUUAUUGCAUAUUUAAAAACUAAAUUGUUUAACUAUUGUGAACUGUAAAGAUGUGUAAACACAUGAAAUAAAUGGAUGAAAUAA